GGCUCGUGGUCUAGGGGUAUGAUUCUCGCUUUGGGUGCGUGAGGUUCCCGGGUUCAAAUCCCGGAUGAGCCC
rnacentral:tRNA from 1 species